GAUGAACGCUGGCGGCGUGCUUAACACAUGCAAGUCGAACGGAAAGGCCCAAGCUUGCUUGGGUACUCGAGUGGCGAACGGGUGAGUAACACGUGGGUGAUCUGCCCUGCACUUCGGGAUAAGCCUGGGAAACUGGGUCUAAUACCGGAUAGGACCACUCCUUGGAUUUUGUGGUGGAAAGUUUUUUCGGUGUGGGAUGAGCUCGCGGCCUAUCAGCUUGUUGGUGUGGUAAUGGCCUACCAAGGCGUCGCCGGGUAGCCGGCCUGAGAGGGUGUACGGACACAUUGGGACUGAGAGCCGGCCAAGACUCCUACGGGAGGCAGGAGUGGUGAAUAUUGCACAAUGGGCGCGAGCCUGAUGCAGCGACGCCGCGUGGGGGAUGACGGCCUUCGGGUUGUAAACUCCGUUCGCUAGGGCCGAAGCGUUUUGUGACGGUACCUGGAGAAGAAGCACCGGCUAACUACGUG
rnacentral:rRNA from 1 species